UCUCUUCUCAAUUAUGAAGCAUCCAAUUAGGCGAGAAAUUGAAUCGUUUUGUUUGUCUGGGUUUCUUUUUUCCGUUUAAUUUCUUGUAAGCAUAAUGGGUUUGGAUUCGAAAACUGGCGGCGAAGUCGGAGCGGAUAGCUCUCUUCGGUCCAUCUGUUACAAGAAGGGCUCCUUGCGGCUGCUCGAUCAGAGGAAGCUCCCUUUGGAAUCUGUUUACCUGGACAUCAAGGAUGCAACAGAUGGACGGUGAUACUGCAAAUAAGAUUGGAACCUAUAGUCGAUUCCGUUCUUUGUGGCUACACCAUUGACUUCCAUAGACUUAUCCCUUUCUUCCGGAGAAGAAGUUGUUGUACUCUCGUGGAGGUCUCCCCGAGCAAGGCGCUGCGUUUGGCAUCGCUGUCUGGAACCCCGCUUUUGACAUUACUCUUGUUAGAAAUCAGGACUCUCCACAAUGGGAGUCAUCACGAAGGAAGAUUCUGAUUCUUUCGACGUAUAGGAGUUUGUUCGAAAGACAGCGGAGACGUCUACGUAGAGAACCGGCCUCCCUUGUGGACGACAUGCUAUUCUGCAGGUAUGCUUGAAAGAAAAAUGAACCAUAUAUCUUGAAUUUUGAGGCGAACUGCAUUAUUGUUCUUGUUUAUCAGAAUUUAUAGAUACAAGAAUGUAGUUGAUCAUAUCUUUGGCAAUUCAUGGCUCUCUUUCUGAAGGUCUAAUAACAGACCAAUCUG